UACAGAGGGUGCAAGCGUUGUUCGGAUUUACUGGGCGUAAAGCGCGCGUAGGCGGUAUGUCAAGUCGGAUGUGAAAACCCAAGGCUCAACCAUGGAAGUGCAUUCGAAACUGGCAAACUAGAAUCUCGGAGAGGGUAGUGGAAUUCCUGGUGUAGAGGUGAAAUUCGUAGAUAUCAGGAAGAACAUCAGUGGCGAAGGCGACUACCUGGACGAAGAUUGACGCUGAGGUGCGAAAGCGUGGGGAUCAAACAGG
rnacentral:rRNA from 1 species